rnacentral:lncRNA from 1 species
AAGAGUUAAACCCCUAGCGACGUCGUCUCUCCCUCUCUCUGGCGAGUCAGUUGCGACCCGCCGGAGAAAUCCUCGACGUUUGUUUCAGAUCUCUGUUCGAUUUCAUUUCUUUUGCAUUUUUUCACGUCGUCGUCGUUAGUGUAUCUCCGUCGUCGUCGUUUGUCUAAAAAAAGGUUACUUCUUUUUUUUUUUGUCGUCGUCAGGUCUCUGUUUCACGGCGAACCAUGGGGAAGAAUCCGAAGAAGAAGAAGGAGAAGCCAAUCCUUUCCAAAGAGGAGAAGGAUGCUAAGAAGGCGCUCAAGAAGAAGAAUCAGAAAGAGAGGGUGAAGAAGAAGACGGAGAGGAAAGAAGCGAACAGGAGGAAGCGUGUACAGGAAGAAGAAGAAGACGCACAAGCAAGCC